rfam:Camelus ferus unplaced genomic scaffold scaffold755, whole genome shotgun sequence.
GAGAGUAUAGCUCAGUGUAGAGUGUGUGCUUAGCAUGCUUGGGGUCCUGGGUUCAAUCCCCAGUACCUCCA